CCUACGGGAGGCGGCAGUCGAGAAUCAUUCACAAUGGGGGAAACCCUGAUGGUGCGACGCCGCGUGGGGGAAUGAAGGUCUUCGGAUUGUAAACCCCUGUCAUGUGGGAGCAAAUUAAAAAGAUAGUACCACAAGAGGAAGAGACGGCUAACUCUGUGCCAGCAGCCGCGGUAAUACAGAGGUCUCAAGCGUUGUUCGGAAUCACUGGGCGUAAAGCGUGCGUAGGCUGUUUCGUAAGUCGUGUGUGAAAGGCGCGGGCUCAACCCGCGGACGGCACAUGAUACUGCGAGACUAGAGUAAUGGAGGGGGAGCCGGAAGUCUCGGUGUAGCAGUGAAAUGCGGAGAUAUCGAGAGGAACACUCGUGGCGAAGGCGGGUUCCUGGACAUUAACUGACGCUGAGGCACGAAGGCCAGGGGAGCGAAAGGGAUUAGAUACCCGAGUAGUC
rnacentral:rRNA from 1 species